CGAAUUGUCUGAGCACGAUGAAAUCCAUUCGGUUAACCCAAAACCGGAUGACUCGUAACCUAUAUCAUGUCGUAUGAUAUCGUCGCAGAUAGCCGUACAAAUCAUCGAAAUGUAUUCGAUAGCACUAUAUUAUAAUCAUUUGUGCAAAUCACAUCGUUUUGGAUUUGAGAGGAAGAAUACUGAGAUUUGAGUAACGAAACUUCAUUAAAACACGCCUGUUUGACGCCAGACAAUCAUCAUAAGCCUGCUGAAGUGAAAAGGAAAAUGAGUGCACAAACGGGUUUUCAAUACUGGGGCGAGACUGUCACAGGUCGCCAAAAUAUGUGUGCACAAUCGAGCUGUGGUUUUUUUUUUUAACAAACGAGUUUUAAAAAAAGGUAAAUGUGUGCAAACGAGUUGUAGCCAAAAUUUAAGUAGGUGUAAUAUUCACGUUCCAACGUAUAUUGUAUUAUAUGAAGGACUAUAUAUUUAUAUAACUUUAUAGCCUAUAUGUAGGUAUUAGGGUUUUGUCCCAGACAACGUAAAGGCAAUAAUUUAUUGAUAUCAUCACACCUAGAUUUUAUCCGACUGCCUUUUCGAUUAGAUUCGAUGAUAAAUAAAUAGAAGAGUUGUAGGUAACUAUUGAUUUCUUGAUGUGCGUUUAGUCAUAUUAUGCUUUAUCGGAUCAUUCACAGGAUAGGUAUAGGAUUGUUCAUCGACAUAUUUAUAACGUGAUGAAACACGAAGGUCUCUAAAACCUUUAAUCCGUUUGUAUCGUUUAAACCAUACUUUAUCUAUACCUUAUUAGUGUAUGCUAUAAACCGCUGUGACAUCUCUAUUUAUACCUACAAAGAUAAUAUAAAUAGAGUACCUUUUUUAUUUCGUGUUAUCGAUGACACUGCCGGCGUAUUACGUCGACAAUAAAUAGAGUAUCUUAGUACCUACUUGAAUAAUGAUUAAAAAAAAUCAAUAAUAAUUUUUACUUUCUCGGUUUUAAAUAUUUUUUGUUCGUAUGGGUAUUUUGUUUGAUCAUACAAAAUAUUAAGACUGGUUCAGAAUUAUUCUUCACUUCUGCAGUGUUGGUUACUAUUUGAUUUGAAAAGCACAAAUCAACCAAUAAACAACAUAACGCCAAACAAAUUUAACCUUCAAUUCUAAUCAAUUAGUUGCUUAUAAGUUUUGAGUGUCUAGAUAAAUUAUACAGUUAGUAAUAAAAUAUAAUCAACGGAGUACAAUAAAGAUCAAAAAUAUCUAAUUAAAAGACCAUUCAAAUACAACGGUAUAUGUUCCAUAUUUUGGGAACUCAACCGGAUACCUUAUCUCGAGUACAAUUAUUUUAUUCUCAAGAGUUUAUAGUCACGGAAAUAUCUAUAUCGUAUGUGUUCACACAACUUUUCUUCGUGUAUAUGCAUUAUUUAAAAAGUGUAGCUUAUAGUAAUGACUUCAUUCAUUACAUCAUCGUUACAUUAUAUGAGCAUUGGGCACGCUUGCGUCUAUAUCAUAAUUAAAAAUUGUAUUGAUUUUGCACGUAUUCAUGGACAGAUUCAGUGAAUUUAAUUGUUAAGUAUCAUUGGACCUUUGUACAAAUGUAAAAUAAAUCAAAUACCAAAAAUCUAUCUACUUCAUAAUUGUAUACAGUUUAUGCAUACGUUACAUAAGUACAAAUAAAAAAAUAAGCAAUUCGCAAACUCAAUAAAUCUUUUACAUUGCUAAAAAUCUAAAAUAACAAACGAUUAAUAAACACGAUUUAUAAUUAUCAUUUCAUACAGCUGUAUUAUUCAUAACACUUGUAUGUAGUUAAAGAAGUGUCCUGUUAGUAAAAAUUUGUUUUUCAAACAAUACUCAAGCACUCAUUUUAAAGAAGAAGUUGGUAUGGCUACAUGACGCUUCAUACAUUUUAAAAUAAAUCUUGCUAGAUAUUUGAAAAUAUGGUUAAAAGUAGAUAAGUAUAGUGUUAAAAACUCUAAAAGUCAGAAUUUUAACAAACCAAUAAUUAUUUUUUUUUUUAACACAGGUGAUAUGCUUGGUGAAUCACUUUAGAACGUUUCUGCAGAUUGUAUAUAAAUAAUAUAAAUUAAAAUCAAGUGCCUAAUCAAUCGAAAUAAAUGUUUAAUUGUUAAUUGUUUUUAUUUUGUUAUAAUCAUUUUAAAAGUAGUUCCAUUCUAGUUUUAUAGAUAGAAUACCUAUCAUAGGUACACUUUAUUUUUAAGGCAUCAACUGCAUGGUUAUUAGCUAGUUUUUACUGUAACAGAGUGAAAGGUUGGUUUGGAACACAUCUUGUGUGUUGCAAGGAUUUGUCACCAAAAGCCUCCGGAAAAUAGUGGUGCUGGCACUCGGAACACAUUUGUAUGAUACCAAACCCCAAGCCACCAAUAGAUAAAAUGAUUCAAUGGUCAAUCAAGUCGGACUUUCAGAAAGUAAAAAGUAAAAAUUGU